rnacentral:tRNA from 1 species
ACAGCGGGUGGCAGAGAGGCGUUGCUCGCUCUUCACCACGGUGUGUGUGUAUAAAUUAGUGCGCAGGUGCCGCGUUCAACGCCUGCCGCUCUCC